rnacentral:rRNA from 1 species
UACGUAGGGGGCGAGCGUUGUCCGGAUUUAUUGGGCGUAAAGAGCUCGUAGGCGGCUUGUCGCGUCGGCUGUCGAAAUCCCGUGGCUCAACUGCGGGUCUGCAGCCGAUACGGGCAGGCUAGAGUUCGGUAGGGGAGACGUGGAAUUUACGGUGUAGCGGUGAAAUGCGUAGAUAUCGUAAGGAAGACCGUGGCGAAGCGGGUCUCUGGACAGUUCGUGACGCUGAGGCACGAAGGCCAGGGGAGCAAACGGG